rnacentral:rRNA from 1 species
UACGUAGGGGGCAAGCGUUGUCCGGAAUCAUUGGGCGUAAAGAGCGUGUAGGCGGCCCGAUAAGUCCGCCGUGAAAGUCCAGGGCUCAACCCUGGAAUGCCGGUGGAAACUGUCGGGCUGGAGUCCGGAAGAGGCGAGUGGAAUUCCUGGUGUAGCGGUGAAAUGCGCAGAUAUCAGGAAGAACACCCGUGGCGGAAGGCGGCUCUCUGGGACGGUACUGGACGCUGAGACGGCGAAAGCGUGGGGAGCGAACAGGGAUUAG